rnacentral:lncRNA from 1 species
GCAGGUAUAUUUUUUAUUACAUAUUUGAUUUACUCAGGUAAAAAUUAGUCUAUAUGGAUUUUCUUUUAUCAAAAUGUAAAUAGAGGGUCAAAACUGUCUUGUAUGCCCUUAAGAUAGCACUAUAAAGGUAUAUAGGGGAAAAAACAAGUUCCUGUGCCUGUGAAAUAAGUUGUUGUAGAAUAGUUAAAAUAAAUAUAGCUAGUAGUGAAAUAACCAACAACAUUAAAUGAAUAUUUUCCAAAGUAUGAACAAGUUUUGCUAAGUUAAUCAAUUAACAAAAAAAUGGUACUCCUCUUACAUUAUUCAUAAAUAAUAAUUUAAUUUUGGAUGUAACGCGUCUUCUGAUUGGCUGAGUUUAUUUUCGUAUGAGCCCAUAGACAUAAUUUAG